rnacentral:rRNA from 1 species
AGUGAACGCUGGCGGUAGGCCUAACACAUGCAAGUCGAACGAGUGGCGGACGGGUGAGUAAUACAUCGGAAUCUACUCUGUCGUGGGGGAUAACGUAGGGAAACUGAAGCUAAUACCGCAUACGAUUGGAUGAGCCGAUGUCGGAUUAGCUCGUUGGUGGGGUAAAGGCUUACCAAGGCGACGAUCCGUAACUGGUCUGAGAGGAUGAUACGGCACACUGGAACUGAGACACGGUCCAGAGUCCGACGGGAGGCAGAGUGGGGGAAUAUUGGACAAUGGGGGAAAGCCUGAUCCAGCCAUGCCGCGGGGGUGAAGAAGGUCUUCGGAUUGUAAAGCACUUUAAGUUGGGAGGCGUUACCAACAGAAUAAGCACCGGCUAACCUCGUGCCAGCAGCCGCGUAAUAC